rnacentral:rRNA from 1 species
CCUACGGGUGGCAGCAGUGAGGAAUAUUGGUCAAUGGACGAGAGUCUGAACCAGCCAAGUAGCGUGAAGGAUGACUGCCCUAUGGGUUGUAAACUUCUUUUAUAUGGGAAUAAAAUGUUCCACGUGUGGGAUUUUGUAUGUACCAUAUGAAUAAGGAUCGGCUAACUCCGUGCCAGCAGCCGCGGUAAUACGGAGGAUCCGAGCGUUAUCCGGAUUUAUUGGGUUUAAAGGGAGCGUAGGUGGAUUGUUAAGUCAGUUGUGAAAGUUUGCGGCUCAACCGUAAAAUUGCAGUUGAAACUGGCAGUCUUGAGUACAGUAGAGGUGGGCGGAAUUCGUGGUGUAGCGGUGAAAUGCUUAGAUAUCACGAAGAACUACGAUUGCGAAGGCAGUUCACUGGACUGCAACUGACACUGAGGCUCGAAAGUGUGGGUAUCAAACAGGAUUAGAUACCCGUGUAGUC